GACGAACGCUGGCGGCGUGCCUAAUACAUGCAAGUAGGACGCAGUUGCGAACGGGUGAGUAACGCGUAGGUAACUACCUAUUAGAGGGGGAUAACUAUUGGAAACGAUAGCUAAUACCGCAUACUAGUAGAUGGACCUGCGUUGUAUUAGCUAGUAGGUAGGGUAAUGGCCUACCUAGGCAACGAUUCAUAGCCGACCCUUGAGGGUGAUCGGCCCAACCGGGACUGAGAAAAGGUCCAGACCCCGACCGGAGGCAGCAGUAGGGAAUCUUCGGGAAUUGGGGGAACCCUGACCGAGCAACGCCGCGUGAGUGAAGAAGGUUUUCGGAUCGUAAAGCUCUGUUGUUAAGGAAGCGGUACUUAACCAGAAAGGGACGGCUAACUACGUGCCAGCAGCCGCGGUAAUUC
rnacentral:rRNA from 1 species